rnacentral:rRNA from 1 species
AGUGAACGCUGGCGGCAGGCCUAACACAUGCAAGUCGAACGGCAGCACAAGAGAGCUUGCUCUCUGGGCGGCGAGUGGCGGACGGGUGAGGAAUGCAUCGGAAUCUGCCCAUUUGUGGGGGAUAACCUCGGGAAACCGGGACUAAUACCGCAUACGACCUACGGGUGAAAGCAGGGGAUCUUCGGACCUUGCGCAGAUGGAUGAGCCGAUGCCGGAUUAGCUAGUUGGAGGGGUAAAGGCCCACCAAGGCGACGAUCCGUAGCUGGUCUGAGAGGAUGAUCAGCCACACUGGGACUGAGACACGGCCCAGACUCCUACGGGAGGCAGCAGUGGGGAAUAUUGGACAAUGGGCGCAAGCCUGAUCCAGCCAUGCCGCGUGUGUGAAGAAGGCCUUCGGGUUGUAAAGCACUUUUGUUGGGAAAGAAAAGCAGCCGGUUAAUACCCGGUUGUCAUGACGGUACCCAAAGAAUAAGCACCGGCUAACUUCGUG